rnacentral:rRNA from 1 species
UGCCCUAGUAACGGCGAGCGAAGCGGCAACAGCUCAAAUUUGAAAUCUGGCUACUUUGUAGUCCGAGUUGUAAUUUGUAGAGGAUGCUUUUGGUGAGGUGCCUUCCGAGUUCCCUGGAACGGGACGCCAGAGAGGGUGAGAGCCCCGUACGGUUGGAUACCAAACCUUUGUAUAGCUCCUUCGACGAGUCGAGUAGUUUGGGAAUGCUGCUCUAAAUGGGAGGUAUAUCUCUUCUAAAGCUAAAUAUAGGCUAGAGACCGAUAGCGCACAAGUAGAGUGAUCGAAAGAUGAAAAGCACUUUGAAAAGAGAGUUAAACAGCACGUGAAAUUGUUGAAAGGGAAGCGCCUAUGACCAGACUUGUUUCUUUCAGUUUUGUUAGUUCUCGGACUGAUUUACUCUGUUAGUACAGGCCAGCAUCAGUUUGUUGUCGGGGAGAAAGGCUUAGGGAAUGUGGCUCCUUCGGGAGUGUUAUAGCCCUUUGCAUAAUACCCUUCGGCAGACUGAGGACCGCGCUUCGGCAAGGAUGCUGGCGUAAUGGUCAUCAGCGACCCGUCUUGAAACACGGACCAAGGAGUCAACCUUAUGUGCGAGUGUUUGGGUGUAAAACCCCAGCGCGUAAUGAACGUGAACGUAGGUGAGAGCUUCGGCGCAUCAUCGACCGAUUCUGAUGUUCUCGGAUGGAUUUGAGUAAGAGCACACAGGGUUGGACCCGAAAGAAGGUGAACUAUGCUUGUAUAGGGUGAAGCCAGAGGAAACUCUGGUGGAGGCUCGCAGCGGGUUCUGACGUGCAAAUCGAUCGUCAAAUAUGAGCAUGGGGGCGAAAG